GACCCGGAGAUUAAGGCUUGAUUUCAACUCUAUAACAAAACAUGUUGCAAGGUGUGGUUCUCAGUAUGAUCCUGAUUGGAAAUAACAAUAGCUGCAAGAGACAGCUGGGAAACGUGAAUAUGAACUAGCUUUAUUGAGAUACAAUCUGAUGGAAUCCGGACCUGAGUACCGCCUUUCAAAUAAGCCCGCCUACCAUCUCAGAGGGACCUAGGUGUCAUCUUCCCUAGGCUACAAGCAUUCUCCAGAGGACAGGUAACUGAAGCAAAAUACAAGCUGUUCUCUUGGUUGAAGUUCAACAGCACAUGAAAACCUUGAGAAAGACAUCAUCAGUCAGUCAACAGUCAACUGGUGUCCAUGACCGAGAAUAGUCACUGUGAGAUGGUGGAAAUCCUGCCAAAGGUGGAAUGGGCCCAGGAGCUAGAGUUACAUUGUAUUACAGACACCUUGCCUGUGCAAGGGGAGAACAGAGAACCAGCUGGCUACUUAAGACCAAGACUACCACCAGGCUAGGCAGGGGAUAGGGUUAGGACGAAUAUUGCUUGGUUUCUAUAAACCUUUUACUGUUUCCAGAGCACCUACUUAGUUGAUUCAUACAACUUCUGGUGUAAUAUGCAUGCAUGCUCACGUACCUGUGUUUGUGUUUAAUAUUUAUGUGGAGAAAUCAGUCCUUGGAACUUUCUAGUUUGCCGUUUUGCUGAUGUAACUGCUGUAUUUUUUAAAACCUAAGAAAUACUUACAAAAAGAUUAUGCCUUUGAAUGUUUUUUCCUGCUCCAUUUUAUUUCUUCCUUUCUGGACUCACAUUACAUGAAUAUUGGAACCUUUAGAUAUGUCCCACAUGUCUGUUCUGCUCUUUUUCUAUUCCUUGUGUUUUCUGUAUUGUACUUUGGGCAUUUUCUCUUGAGAAGAACAGAA